CAAGCCUCUCGGGAACUCAAAUUCUGACCAUUGGGAUCAGUGGUUCCCCUCUGGCUAGGGCUGGUUUAAAUACUCCCUCUGUAGGCAGGUGUCAGCUGAGUGCGGUCCGGUUUUCCUUUCUGCUAUAACAGGAAAGCACACUGAGUUCAAUGCCUCACAAUUGCUGGCUCUCCCUCUCUCCAAAGCACAGAAAUGCUCUUUGCACCACACCAUCACUGCCAGGGGAUGGAGGAGGGGUUGCACUGGUGAUUCAAGACUGUCCUACUUCUUCAGUGCCUCCUUCAGUGAUAUGAAGCCAAAACCAGACCAGGAAACUUUUUCAGCUUUGUGACUGAGAGACAGCCAGCCUUUCAGCUGGGUGAGCUUUCCAGUUGCAUGAGAAAGAGCUUCAUAAGAAACCACCUACACUCUUCCCAUCCAAAAAAAUAGAAAAAAAGAAAGAGAAGAAUAUAAAAAGAAUUGCUUCUCCUCCAAAAAUACAGCUCCUAGGUGCUGCUGAAAUGAGUGAGCAGGGUAAUUGAUGAGAGUUUGGGAGCUGGGAGAGCAGUGAGCUGAUGCUUGGAGCCUUGCCGCGAUCGGACACAGUAGGUUGAUUUUCCCCUCAACAUGCAGGACCAUACCUAACGAUUCCUUACAACAAAACAGAAUACAAAGUAAAGAGGAUUUGACACACAGCAAUUCCUACCAUCCUCUUGGCCCCCCAGCCCGGGAUAUUGAAGCCAAAGUUGAAUUUGAAAAGCACAUUUUCCCAAACUCCUAUUUUAAAAGCAGACACUAUCUUAAUGGCACAGUGAUAACAAUUAUAUUCAGUUAUUUUUUCUUCGAUCCUGCCAAAGAGAUGCUUGGGAAAAGCAAAGAUUUUUAACAUCUGGCUUGCCUGAACAGAAUUCGUACUUCAGUGAAGAAUGCUACAUUAUGAAGACUUCUCUUUCAAUUCUUUUAGUUUCUGGAUAUCAAUGAAGAUAUCACCACUAAUGAAAGUGGUAAAUCUGGGGAAGAUUACUCAGAGUGGCAAGAUUGCAACAUUUUUCCCAGGGAUUUUUAGGGACCCUCUCAACUAAACAAAUAGCAGUAAAGAAGAAUCACAUUUUAAAAUAUCCUUCUAAUGUACUCCAUUUUAAAUAUAUACACCUACUGUGUACCCAUGAAAAUUUUAAAAAAAAUUUUAAGUAUCCUUCCAGAGGUUUUGUGGAAAGGUGGGGUUUUAUUUUCUAAUAUCACAAAUAUUACUUGUUGAUUCAAGCCAGUCAUCUAGCCAGUUAUAGCAACUUCUCAAAGCUAUUUUAGGAAGAAAUUUUUGCUUCUUGUCAUCUUCCCACCAAAGAUAAGUUCUGGAGAAGUUCAUACGCUAUUAACUAUGACAAUAACUGAGACCUCAAUUUACAUUUUUCUCCUUGCUCCAAACUCAUUCCUGGGUCACCAGAAUAGACAUAGAUAUGAAUGUGUAGGCUCCAUGAGGACCACACCAGGCAGGAUACAAAAACACUGGAGUGUAUCAGGAGAAGUGAUUUGCCCUCCUCCUACCUGCCAAAGGUGGUGAUUUAGAAGUGAUUUAGGAGUAAGACUGGGGAGACUUCUUGAAGACAUCUUGGGAUAUUAGAGUCAUUCUAUUCACACCCUCGCUCCUUGAGAAAGGGGAUCAUUUGCCAUGGUCCCUCAUAGAGAGGAUCCCUAGAGACAAUCCCGCAAAGCUCAAGGGUACAUCUGAACAUAGGGACUGGCCCCAGUUUCUCGUUUGGAGUGUGCCAAGUGACAGAACCCAUUGGCACAUGCCAAGCCCCACGCAAAGGCCACCAGAGAGCUUUGGACAUAGGCAGAGGGCCUCAGAAAGGGGGGCAGAACAAGUCAGGAGAGGGCACAAAUCACCUCCCAGUUCUUCAAACACCCAAGGUGGUUGUAAUAGGGAGUCUAAGAUUCUUGGGGCCCGAGAGGCCCCAUAAGAUGGCUGACUGGCUGGUUGAAUUCUAAGCAAACUUCCGUUCCCUGGACACACAGGAAGCAAAGGGACUCAGUAGUAAUAUUAGUCUCAGGCUAAAGGGUCCCCUGUCCUGGACCCCAUGCUUUACAGGGUCCUGCCUUUGCCAACAAAUACAUUUACUAAAGAACACGCAUUGCUGCCAUUCUGGGUCUGAGAUCAGAGCUCAGAGCUGGCACAGACCAACCUAAAACUCUAAAUAUUUGCUCUCCCAGCUGACAUUAUGCAGGCCCCAGGGAAAUCUCCACUUGCAUUAGAUCCUGUAAAUAAAAGAUGUUAUAUGCAAAACUCUGAAGGUUUAUGGGCUGUGCUGCUACAGAGGCUGCUUUGGAGUGUGAAGAGGAUAGCAGUAUUGUUCAUAUUAUGCUUAAAUAUGUAUAUAUGUAGGUUUAGUUAUAUGCCUGAAGCAUAAUUCCUGUUCUUUACUAUGGCAAUUUGAUGGACAUUAAAUCCUAGAAUUGCAAAUAGUUUUUUUUUUAUAAAAUAGGCUUUUUAAUUUUAAUAAAUCUUGAAUAUUUGACAUGAAAUCUUAAUUAUUCAGAAAUGUAGGAAAAGUAAAUUUAUUUAUAUUUGUUUACUCCAAUUUAAAUUUUCUUAAUGCAUUCAAAUUGCAUAUAUUUUUAAUAUAAUUACAUUUAAUUUUUAAUCCAUUUGAUCACUGCUGACACAAGAAUACAAGUUAUAUAUGAAAAUAUUAAUUUUAUCAACACAAUUAGUGACUUUGCUAGAAAUGACCAAAAAAUUUUGAUUCUAGCAAGUAAGUACAUACUAAUUUCUGAAUUAUUACUCAUCCAAACAUUGCCAGCCCAUGAAGAGAAUGCCCAGGUACAUGCAAUACAAAUUAAAUUCAAUAGUCUUUGAUAUUUUGCUAAUUCUGGGCUUUAUAUAUAUUUUUCUAAUUUGUCCUCAUAAAGGUAUGUGUGUCAAGUGAGGAUGACAGGACAUAUUUCAUUUAGCAAUUUGUUAGUUUGAUUUAUAAUUCUAAAAAAUAUAUACUUAGGGAAUGGGGUCUCCAUUUGCUCCAUGCCUUGUAAAGUUUGGGUGGACAUGAAGGAAUCCCAUCUGUAGAGGCUCACGGUAGACCACUAUCCUGAGACUGGAUGAAGCCGAAGUGAAUGUCAAAAUGCCAUAGGCAUCCAAGGAUCACUGAGCCAGCAGGUGGUACCCAUCGACCAGACUGGGUGAUGAUAUUGGCAGCUGGAAUCAGCAGAGAGGUGACUGAAAUCAGCUAUUCCACUUCCACCUGCCCCACUGCCUGCACCAGUCAGCUCAUUCUUCCUCAUCUUCCCCUCUCCCUGCUGCCUUCACAAGAAGUCAAACAUGAGAUUCCUUCCCUGGAAAUUCACCAAGAGUUGAAUGCAGUUUGAAUUGCAGUUGAAUGCAGGGAGUGAAGGCAGUGUGAAGAGAGAAUUUUGAACUGGAUAGUAAUUGAAAUGAUAAUACUUGAAUUUGACUACAGAUAUAUUACAUUAAACCAGUGCUUAACAGAUUGCAGUAUUUUCCUGCUAUAGAACAUGAGUGGGAACUUAUAAAAGAAAAAUGGGCACCAAAAUGAAGUGUUUCAUGUUUGCUGAUAUUUGGGUUCUUCUAAUGCCUACCUUCUACUGGUAGCACCAUGCCAGAAAAUAGGACACUUUUUUAAUUGUUGAAAUCAUCAAAGAUAGAAGGAUUGGGAUUAUUCAUUUGUUGGCUUGAUGCAGUGACUUGUAAUUCUAGCUGCACGAUAGAAUAACUGAGAGCUUUAAAAAUGUUUCAAUUUCCAAUUUUGCCCCAUCCCAGAAUAAUUGAGUGUGAAUCUCUCUGUGUACAGAUUCUAUAUGUCUUAAAAGCAACCCUAGUGAUUCUAAUGAGAAAAUGGUGUUGUAACCCACAGGAGAUACCUGCUUGGUCAAUUGUUUGCCACUUUUGUGUCUGUGCUGUCAGAUAUUCACAGAUUCACCAGUUAAUGCUGUACUCUUUCCUCUUUCCCUAGCUGUGUUGUCAUGGUCCAAGACCCUGCCUCAGGUGCCUUGCACAAGAGCUUGUUUACUGAGGGGUAUGUGACAGCCACAUCAGUGACCUGGGGAAAUUAGCCUGUGUCAAAGCCAAUUAGUCACACUGUUUCCACUUUAAUAAAGGAGAUCAAUUAAGAGGAGAGCUGCACUGGAAAAUUCCCAGGCCUGCCAGACCUAGGGUGUUAUGUUGUUAGGCACCAAAUUCAUUCAUUCACUCAACAACCAUAUAUUUAGUGCCAGCUAUGUGCUGGACACUGGAAAUAAAAUGAUAAAUACAGAUACAACAACAACAACAACUUUCAAAGCACUCUCAGUUUUUUAUCACCUCGGAAAUCAAUUUCUCACCUGCCUAUUUUUUAAAAAAUUGCCUUCUCUCUUGCAUUGUUUCUGAUAUGGAAUCUUGUUAUCUUUAUCUUUACUCUUCUGUAUAUAGCAUGUGUUUUCUCUCAGACUGCUUUUAAGACUUUAAAAGCCCCUGAAUUUCAACGACUCUUUUCUAGACUUUGGAAUUUGAGAGGUCAGUAAUCUUUUUAGUUAGAAGAGUUACCAGUUUUAAUUGUGCAAGGUAAAAAACAAAAUGAAAGAUUUUUUGACACACAAAAAGUAGCAAAUAGAUCAUCUCAGUAUAAGGAAUUGCAAUUUAAAUUAAAUAAAUUUAGCUUCAUGAAAAACUAUACAAUUUUUUUCUCCUUUUGCUGCUUCCUAACAAGCAGUUGUUUGAAACCUUCCUUACUUCCUUUUUCCUUUCUUGUUUAAAGCUUGCUUUCUUUGUUUCUUUCUUUGUUUCUUUGUUUCUUUCUUUCUUCCUUUUUUCUUUUCUCUUUUUUCCCUUUCUUUUUCUUUCUAAUGAGCAGUACCUGUUCUCAUUCUCCAAAUAAAUAUUCUAUGAUCAAAUUACACUUCCAGCCAAGAUAGAGAAAAAGACCAGAUUUACCCUCUCACCUUAACCAAUAAAUUUUAGAAGUAUAUGAAACAAUGGUUUUCAGGACACUGGAUAUCAGACAAAAACAGUGAUUCCUGAAAGACAGGAGAUGAAUGAGGUGAGUCCUGUGAUUACCCCGGUUUAAUGUUUUGAGAGAGAGUCCAGUCUGUAGUGCAGGGGGGAAGAACCCAAGUCGAGCCUGGAAGACUCCCUGACUAGAAAUAGAGCUAAAAGUUGGGAGUGAAUAAAGUGACAAGAGUCACUGGAAUGUCUACCAGGCAAGAUAUCUGAAGAUCUGUAACUCCCUUUGAGUUUUAAGCUGAGCAAUAAUUAGCACAUGCAUGGAAGGAAACUACCUGAGGCCAGGAACAGAAUCACCUGGAAGGACAGAGGUAACAGUGUCUGGCAUUCACACAGAGUCAACAUAGUGCCUGUACCCAGAAAUCACACUGGAAAACCUCAUGUUUCAUAAGGCAUUUGGUAGAAUACUCAGAAAGGUCUUGUCUUGGUAAUGGGGGAUAAUUAGCCCUGUAAUACGAGGACUGCUCUCGUCCCAUUUAAUAAAUCAUGAAACCAAAACCUGAAAGGAUUGAACUAUUUUCACAUACAUUAACUGUGUCCCAGAACAAAGCUGAUUUGGUUUGGCUGUAUCUCCACCCAAAUCUCAUCUUGAACUGUAGUUCCCAUGAUCCCUACAUGUCAUGGGAGGGACCCAGUGGGAGGUAAUUUAAUCAUGGGGGCCGUUACUCCCAUGCUUUUCUCAUGAUUGUGAGUGAGUUCUAUGAGAUCUGAUGGUUUAUGAGGGGCUUUUCCCCUUUUGCUUGGCACUUUUCCUUGCUGCUGCCAUGUGAAGAGGGAUAUGUUUGCUUCUCCUUCCACCAUGAAUGUAAGUUUCCUGAGGCAUCCCCACCCCUGCAGAACUGUG
rnacentral:lncRNA from 1 species